GCUCUUCAUUCCUGCUAAGCUUUGUGUCCUGGUAGCAAUUAAAACCUAAAACCGUCCGACUUCGGCUCAGGUCAUGAUCUCACGGUUUGUGAGUUCGAGCCCCGCGUCGGGCUCUGUGCUGACGGCUCAGAGCCUGGAGCCUGUUUCAGAUUCUGUGUCUCCCUCUCUCUGACCCUCCCCCGUUCAUGCUCUGUCCCUCCCUGUCUCAAAAAUAAAUAAACGUUACAAAAAAAUUAAAAAAUAAAAUAAAAUAAAAAUAUUUUUUUAAACCUCUGCCACUGCCAUAGCUGCUGCUGCUGCAACCACCAUAGCCACGCUGGGUUUGUGGUUUGGCAGAGUACUGGCCUCCACCACCACAGGGGCCAGAGCUUCCGCCCCCCCAAAUUGCCUCCUUUCCUGGGUCUAAAGUUUGAAGAUUGGCCAUUGUAACUGUCAAAAUCAUUACAGCUUCCGCCACCUCCAAAGUUGCUUCCAUCAUUACCAAAUCCGUGACAGCCAUCCCCACUGCCACUGUAUCCAUUGCCACCUCGACUGCCACCAAAGCCACCUUGCCCACUGCAGUUUCCUCCAUGACCAAAGUUGUCAUUCCCGCCAAAACCACCUCCGUGACCACCACCGAAGUUUCCAGAACCACGUCGACCUCUUUGGCUGGACGAAGCACUGGCCAUCUCUUGCUGAGAUACGGCUCUUCUGACUUCACAGUUGUGGCCGUUCACAGUCUGGUAUUUUCGAAUGACAAUCUUGUCUACAGAGUCACGGUCACCAAACGUCACACAAGCAAAGCCUCUCUUUCUGCCACCGCUUCGGUCAGUCAUGAUUUCAAUCACUUCAGUUUUCCCCUACUGUUCAAAAUAAUCUCUCAGGUGAUGUUGUUCAACGUCUUCUUUAAUGCCACCGACCAAAAUCUUUUUCACGGUUAAGUGCGCACCAGGUCUCUAAGAAUCUUCUCUCUCUCUCUUUGGUUCCACAACUCUCCCAUCCACCUUGUGUGGCCUUGCAUUCACGGUUGCGUCCACCUCCUCCACAGUGGCAUAGGUGACAAACCCAAAGCCUCUGGAGCAUUUGGUGUUUGGGUCUCUCAUUACCACACAGCCCGUGAGCAUUCCCCAUCUGGCUCCUCAGAUGCUCAUCGGUUGUUUCAAAGCUCAAACCUCCAAUGAAAAGCUUCUGUAGCUGUUCAGGCUCUUUAGUAGAUUCUGACUUAGACAUGAUGGCUGGGGGAGGGGAGACUUUCACGAUGCUGACUUGGCGGUGUCCACGGGCUGA
rnacentral:lncRNA from 1 species